UUACGUCCAUAUCAUUUUGAAACACUAGUUCACAUACAAUCACUGAAGUUAAAUAAUGUCAAGCUUGGUCAGUCCCUAGAUGGGUGACUGCUUGGGAACACUAGGUGCUGUAAG